rnacentral:rRNA from 1 species
UGGGGAAUAUUGCACAAUGGGCGAAAGCCUGAUGCAGCAACGCCACGUGAGUGAUGAAGGCCUUCGGGUUGUAAAGCUCUGUCUUUUGGGACGAUAAUGACGGUACCAAAGGAGGAAGCCACGGCUAACUACGUGCCAGCAGCCGCGGUAAUACGUAGGUGGCAAGCGUUGUCCGGAUUUACUGGGCGUAAAGGAUGCGUAGGCGGAUUUUUAAGUGAGAUGUGAAAACCCUAAGCUUAACUUGGGGACUGCAUUUCAUACUGGAAAUCUAGAGUGCGGGAGAGGAGAAUGGAAUUCCUAGUGUAGCGGUGAAAUGCGUAGAGAUUAGGAAGAACACCAGUGGCGAAGGCGAUUCUCUGGACCGUAACUGACGCUGAGGCAUGAAAGCGUGGGUAGCAAACAGGAUUAGAUACCCUGGUAGUCCACGCCGUAAACGAUGAGUACUAGGUGUAGGAGGUAUCGACCCCUUCUGUGCCGCAGUUAACACAAUAAGUACUCCGCCUGGGAAGUACGAUCGCAAGAUUAAAACUCAAAUGAAUUGACGGGGUCAUAGCUGUUUUCCU